rnacentral:rRNA from 1 species
GACAUAAGGUGCGAGCGUUAUCCGGAAUCACUGGGCGUAAAGGGCAUCUAGGCGGUUUAUUAAGUCAGGGGUGAAAAGCCGAAGCUCAACUUUGGUCUUGCCUUUGAAACUGAUAGACUAGAAUACGGGAUAGGAGGGCGGAACUACAAGUGUAGAGGUGAAAUUCGUAGAUAUUUGUAGGAAUGCCGAUGACGAAGGUAGCUCUCUGGACCGAUAUUGACGCUGAAGUGCGAAAGCUAGGGUAGCAAACAGG